CUUAAACCUUGUUUAUUUGGCCCUUGCUAGCCUUUGAGUUUGACAUGCUUGAUGUAGAGUGUUACGGUACCUUCAGCAUCAAAAUGUACAAACCGCCGUUUAGUGAAUGCUCCCCGUUCGCAAUAAUGUAGGCUGUAAGCGUAUCCAAUACAACCAUGCGAACCGCCAGCAAGGGAACACUCCAAACUCCCGAACGGUAUCCGUACGGUCACUUCCCUCCACGAGCCUCAAGCUCACGAACCGCCAAUAUCAGCCGAACCCCGGUAUCUCCCAAGCGGCUGAUAAUUCCAAAUAGCAGUCUCUAGUCACCAGUAAUAAAGUCCCCCCAAUAACGAG